rnacentral:rRNA from 2 species
UUUUAAUUAAUCAUAAUUAAAAAGUGGUGUACAGGUGAGUAUAACGAUAUUCUUAGCCGACCUUAAAGUGAAGGUAAAUCCUUCAUAAUAAAUAAAGGAAAAUUUUUCUGCUUUAAGAGGACAAUAAAUAUCUUCGAGAUAGGUAGUAGUUAAGGUGAUGGCUUAACUAGCCAAAACUCUCGUAGUCGAAUCUGAAAGGUUGAUCGACCACAUUGGGUCUGAAAAAACCCCAAUGCAAGUUAGUACAGCAGUGAGGAAUCUUGGUCAAUGGCCUAACGGCUGAACUGGCAACUUGGAGAAGUGGUAAGUCUUAUUUUGAUUAUAUCUAACGCUAUAAAGCGUAAUGAAUAUAAUCUAAAAGAUUGUAUUAAAAUUGAAUAAAACUUUGUUUACAUAUUGAUAAUGACAAUAUGUAUAUUAUGUCUUGACUAAUUACGUGCCAGCAGUCGCGGUAAUACGUAAGAGACUAGUGUUAUUCAUCUUAAUUAGGUUUAAAGGGUACCUAGACGGUCAAUAUAGCUUAUAGAAUGUUAGUACUUGACUAGAGUUUGAUAUAAGAGGGCAGUACUUGAGGAGGAGAGAUGAAAUUUUAUGAUACCAAAGGGACUCGGUAAAGGCGAAGGCAGCUCUUUAUGUAAAAACUGACGUUGAAGGACGAAGGCACAGAACACAAACAGGAUUAGAUACCCAAGUAGUCUUUGCAGUAAAUGAUGAAUGCCAUAAGUUAGAUUAAGCUUUAAUAAUAAAGUUUAUCAGUAAAGAACAUAUUAUUAAAUAAUAUUUAGUUUAUAAAUGAAAGUGUAAGCAUUCCACCUCAAGAGUAAUGUGGCAACGCAGGAACUGAAAUCACUAGACCGUUUCUGACACCAGUAGUGAAGUAUGUGUGCGACAAGAAGUGGAUAUUAGUAAUACGGUGUGAUUCCGUUUGGUAUUUUCUCUACCUAACACUAUUUACACAUGCAAAUUAGUAAUAAUUUAUGUGAAGCUGUAAAGACAAUGUAGCCUCCCUUAAAUGGGAAUGUUAAUAUAUUUGUAUAUAUUACCAGGAGCUAGUGUAAGUAAGAUAUGGAAAGCGAAAGCGAAAUUAGCAAUGACGCUUUAAUACUAGUGCACAAAGGAAGGUAAUAGAUUUGACAUGCUAAUCUAUUAGAGAAACCAUAUUUCCGUUAAAGUAAAGCUAAUUUCCUAAGUCUUACGUAAAUUGUGCUAAUAUCUGAACUUGGUAACCCCUUUAUUUUCAGUAAUAUAUUAUAUAUUAAAGAGGUAACAUAUAAGACUUUAGUAGUUGAAAUUGUUAUAUCCGAUAAAGGGGAGAGGAUUUGUUAAAAAGCAAAUGCUUUAUUUGGAUUUUAAUUGAAGUAAAUCUAAAUAAUAGAUAAAGAUGUAUAUUAUAGUUAUUCUCUAAAAAGAAGUUUAUUCUUAUUUGCAAGUAUUCAGUUUUUUAAAGAUUUAUAAAUAAAAAUGUUAACUAAGAAAUGGAAAAUUUAAAAUUAUUCAGUACUUUAUCACAAAAUAAUAUAAAUAAUUGUCUAUCUUGAUAUGUAAGUGGUUUAGUAGAUGCAGAAGGAAGUUUCGGUGUAACUCUAGUUAAGAAAGAAUCUAGUGUAACAGGUUAUUCAGUACUAAUUUAUUUCGAAAUAGCUUUAAAUAAAAAAGAUAAGCAAUUACUAGAAACUAUAAAACAAGUAUUAGGAAUUGAUAAAAAUUUAUAUUAUAAUGAAAACGAUAACACAUUAAAAUUAAGAAUAUCUAAUUUAGAUGUAUUAAUUAAAAAUGUGAUACCUCAUUUUAAUAAAUACCCUUUAUUUACACAAAAAAGAGUAGACUUUCUAUUAAUGUGUAAAAUAAUUGAACUAGUGGAAGAAAAAAAACAUUUAACAAAAGAAGGGUUAAAUGAAAUACUAAAUAUAAAAGCAGCUAUGAAUCUAGGAUUAUCUGACAAAUUGAAGAAUGAAUUUUUAACAGUUAAAUCUUUAACUAGAUUGUCAAUAGAUACAGGUAUCCCUAAUAAAGACUGAUUAGAAGGAUUUAUGGAAGGAGAAUCUUGUUUUUUUGUAAGAGUAUAUAAUUCACCUAAGUCAAAAUUGAAAUUGGCUGUUCAAUUAGCAUUUAUAAUUACGCAGCAUUCUAGAGAUAAAAUACUGUUGGAAAAUAUUUCUAAGUUAUUAAAAUGUGGUAGAGUAGAAACAAGAAAAUCCGGAGAUGCAUGUGAUUUUGUAGUAACAUCAUUUAAAGAUUUUACUAAAUAUAUGAUACCCUAUUGAAAAGAUUAUCCUUUAAUAGGUAACAAAUCAAAAGAUUGUUUAGAUUUUAUAAGAGUAUAUGAAAUUAUGCUAAAUAAAGGUCAUUUAACUGAAGAAGGUUUGACUAAAAUAGUAGAAAUAAAAAACUCUAUGAACACUAAAAGGGAGUAGUAUUAAAUACUAUAAUAAAUAUAAUAUAUAUUUAUUAAGAUUUUUAUCUUAAUAUAGCUGACUUAACAAGGGUAAAAUUUGACAUAAUUAAGAUAGUAUGUUAGGUUAUAUCUGAAAUUAUGUUUGGAGCGAUGGCUUCUGUAGAAAGAUUUUGCUUGACCCGUAUGCGAUGAAAGUUGCACGUACGGUUCUUUAAGGGGGAAAAUCUGAGAGGAUCUACCUAUCUUGACUGUUUAAUUCGUAAAUACACGAAAAACCUUACCAUAACUUGAAUAAUUUUACAGGAGUUGCACGGCUGUUUUCAGUUAAUGUUGUGAAACUAUGGUUUCCAUGUAAUUAACGUAAUCCCUGGCUUUAUUUUUUAUUAUUUACUAUAAAGCAUUUGAUCCUAUAUUUAGGAAAGAAAAAGGGGACAAAGACAAGUCAUCAUGGCCUUGAUGUUAUGGGCUAUAGACGUGCCACAUAUACCUAAACAAAGAGAUGCAAAAAUGUGAAUUUGAGCUAAUCUCUAAAAUAGGUUAUAAAUUUAAAGGAUUGUAGUCUGAAACUCGACUACAUGAAUAAGUAAUUACUAGUAAUCGUGAAUCACCACGUCACGGUGAAUUAACCUUGGAUUGGUACUAACCACUCGUCACAUGCUGAAAAGAGCAUGCGCAAUAAGUUUGCUUUCUUAAUAAUUAGUAAAAAAACAUAAAGGGUUUUAUAUAAUCUAUUAUUAAGAAUCUUCGUAUGCGUGGCUCUAAUUAGUGUU